rnacentral:rRNA from 1 species
CCUACGGGAGGCAGCAGUGAGGAAUAUUGGUCAAUGGGCGGGAGCCUGAACCAGCCAAGUCGCGUGCGGGAAGACGGUCCUAUGGAUUGUAAACCUCUUUAGGCGGGGAGCAAUGCCGGGCACGCGUGCCCGGAGGGAGAGUACCCGCAGAAUAAGCAUCGGCUAACUCCGUGCCAGCAGCCGCGGUAAUAGGGAGGAUGCGAGCGUUAUCCGGAAUUAUUGGGUUUAAAGGGUGCGUAGGCGGAUUUUUAAGUCAGCGGUAAAAUGUCGGGGCUCAACCCGGGCCGGCCGUUGAAACUGGGGAUCUUGAGUGGGCGAGAAGUAUGCGGAAUGCGUGGUGUAGCGGUGAAAUGCAUAGAUAUCACGCAGAACUCCGAUUGCGAAGGCAGCAUACCGGCGCCCGACUGACGCUGAGGCACGAAAGCGUAGGGAGCGAACAGGAUUAGAUACCCUUGUAGUC